rnacentral:rRNA from 1 species
CCUACGGGUGGCAGCAGUGGGGAAUAUUGCGCAAUGGGCGAAAGCCUGACGCAGCGACGCCGCGUGAGGGAUGAAGGUCUUCGGAUCGUAAACCUCUGUCAGCAGGGAAGAACGGUCACUGUGCUAAUCAGCAGUGAAUUGACGGUACCUGCAAAGGAAGCACCGGCUAACUCCGUGCCAGCAGCCGCGGUAAUACGGAGGGUGCGAGCGUUAAUCGGAAUUACUGGGCGUAAAGCGCUCGUAGGCGGUAUGUCAAGUCAAGGGUGAAAUCCCCGCGCUCAACGUGGGAACUGCCUUUGAAUGUGGCAGACUGGAGUGUGUGAGAGGAUAGUGGAAUGCCAGGUGUAGGAGUGAAAUCCGUAGAUAUCUGGAGGAACAUCAGUGGCGAAGGCGACUAUCUGGCACAUAACUGACGCUGAGGAGCGAAAGCGUGGGUAGCAAACAGGAUUAGAUACCCUUGUAGUC